rnacentral:rRNA from 1 species
UAAUACGUAGGGUGCGAGCGUUAAUCGGAAUUACUGGGCGUAAAGCGUGCGCAGGCGGUUUUGUAAGACAGAGGUGAAAUCCCCGGGCUCAACCUGGGAACUGCCUUUGUGACUGCAAGGCUUGAGUGCGGCAGAGGGGGAUGGAAUUCCGCGUGUAGCAGUGAAAUGCGUAGAUAUGCGGAGGAACACCGAUGGCGAAGGCAAUCCCCUGGGCCUGCACUGACGCUCAUGCACGAAAGCGUGGGGAGCAAACAGG